rnacentral:rRNA from 1 species
UGCAGUCGAGCGGACAGAAGGGAGCUUGCUCCCGGAUGUUAGCGGCGGACGGGUGAGUAACACGUGGGUAACCUGCCUGUAAGACUGGGAUAACUCCGGGAAACCGGAGCUAAUACCGGAUAGUUCCUUGAACCGCAUGGUUCAAGGAUGAAAGACGGUUUCGGCUGUCACUUACAGAUGGACCCGCGGCGCAUUAGCUAGUUGGUGAGGUAACGGCUCACCAAGGCGACGAUGCGUAGCCGACCUGAGAGGGUGAUCGGCCACACUGGGACUGAGACACGGCCCAGACUCCUACGGGAGGCAGCAGUAGGGAAUCUUCCGCAAUGGACGAAAGUCUGACGGAGCAACGCCGCGUGAGUGAUGAAGGUUUUCGGAUCGUAAAGCUCUGUUGUUAGGGAAGAACAAGUGCAAGAGUAACUGCUUGCACCAUGACGGUACCUAACCAGAAAGCCACGGCUAACUACGUGCCAGCAGCCGCGGUAAUACGUAGGUGGCAAGCGUUGUCCGGAAUUAUUGGGCGUAAAGGGCUCGCAGGCGGUUUCUUAAGUCUGAUGUGAAAGCCCCCGGCUCAACCGGGGAGGGUCAUUGGAAACUGGGAAACUUGAGUGCAGAAGAGGAGAGUGGAAUUCCACGUGUAGCGGUGAAAUGCGUAGAGAUGUGGAGGAACACCAGUGGCGAAGGCGACUCUCUGGUCUGUAACUGACGCUGAGGAGCGAAAGCGUGGGAGCGAACAGGAUUAGAUACCCUGGUAGUCCACGCCGUAAACGAUGAGUGCUAAGUG